rnacentral:lncRNA from 1 species
UUUUCUUCUUCUUCUUUUUUUUCCUUUUUUUUUUUAAUUUGAACUGUAUGCUGAAAGUUUUUAUUCUUUUUUUUUUCUAUUUGUGAAGUGUUAAAAGUAACAUACCCUAGCUUAAAAUGGAGAUUGAGUGCACAAGGAGGAAUCCCACUAGUCACGCCUCCAAAACAAAUUCAAUCUUUUUUUUUUUCUAUUUUAAUUUGUUAAGCUUAUCUUCAAUUAGCUGGCAAUCGUAUUAUAUAUUCUUAACUACCAGUUGACUCGCGCUCCGCGCGGGAGGUUUAUAAUUUUGUUUCAUUGAUUUUUUUAUUCAUAUUGU